rnacentral:rRNA from 1 species
UACGUAGGGGGCAAGCGUUGUCCGGAUUUAUUGGGCGUAAAGAGCGUGUAGGCGGUCAGGUAGGUCCGUUGUGAAAACUCGAGGCUCAACCUCGAGACGCCGAUGGAAACCAUCUGACUAGAGUCCGGAAGAGGAGAGUGGAAUUCCUGGUGUAGCGGUGAAAUGCGCAGAUAUCAGGAAGAAACACCCGUGGCUAAGGCGGCUCUCUAGUACGGUACUGACGCUGAGACGCGAAAGCGUGGGGAGCGAACAGG